AUUGAACGCUGGCGGCAGGCCUAACACAUGCAAGUCGAACGAGUGGCGGACGGGUGAGUAAUGUCUGGGAACCUGCCCGAUGGAGGGGGAUAACUACUGGAAACUGUAGCUACUACCGCAUACCAUCGGAUGUGCCCAUAUGGGAUUAGCUAGUAGUGUGGGUAACGGCUCACCUAGGAGACGACCCCUAGCUGGUCUGAGAGGAUGACCAGCCACACUGGAACUGAGACACGGUCCAGACUCCUACGGGAGGCAGCAGUGGGGAAUAUUGCACAAUGGGCGCAAGCCUGAUGCAGCCAUGCCGCGUGUAUGAAGAAGGCCUUCGGGUUGUAAAGUACUUUCAGCGAGGAGGCGUUACUCGCAGAAGAAGCACCGGCUAACUCCGUGCCAGCAGCCGCGGUAAUUC
rnacentral:rRNA from 1 species